ACAUGGAUACAACAUAGCGUUAAUGCACCGGAUCCCAUUAGAACUUUGCAGUUAAGCACGCUCAGGAUAGAGUAGUACUGGGAUGGGUGAUCGCCCAGGAAGUCCUAGUGUUUUACAUGCG
rnacentral:rRNA from 1 species